rnacentral:misc_RNA from 2 species
CGUGGGAGCGGGCUUGCUCGCGAAAGCGGUGUGUCAGAUGACAACUUUGUGUCUGACACACCGCCUUCGCGAGCAAGCCCGCUCCCACA